UUUGUCGAUAAAAAGUCUAAAAAUGUUGAAAAUCCAUCGAUUGGAACUAGUUUCGAUUCCGUCAAAGAGGGCUACAAGUUUUACAAUCUUUAUUCAUGGGAGGUUGGUUUUAGGGUGCGCUAUGCAAAAAGCCGUUUGAAUGUACACAGAAAGAAGUGCAUGCAGGAGAUAGUUUGUGCAUGUGCGGGUAAGCCAUUGCAAGCCAACAGUAGGUCGACGAGGUGUGGUUGCAAUGUCAUAAUACGACUACUGAGGUCAGACGAUGGUGGAUGGUAUGUAUGCGAGCACAGGGCUGACCACAACCAUGAUUUACCUCUUAAUUGUGGAGAGUUGCACUGGAAGUCGCACCAAUACAUAGAUAGCUAUACAAGGGACGUGGUUAAGCAAUUGAGAGGAAAUAAUAUCAGCAUUAGCAAGGUUUACAGUGUCAUAGGUAGUUUCUUUGGCAUGAUAAAGGACGUGCCACUCACGAAACGUUCCUUAAAAACACUAUGUGGUAAACUUAACCGGGAACAGUCUCUUAAUGAUGCAAUAAAAACCAUAGAUGUAUUCAACAAGAUGAGGGCAGAGGACCCUGAAUUUAAAUACAGUAUUUAGGUUGACACCGAGGGUAGGAUUAAGACAUUGAUGUGGGCUGCUGGCAGAGGGAUUGAGCAAUUCAAGUGUUUCGGUGAUGUUGUGACAUUUGAUACAACCUACAAGACAAACCUGUACGACAUGCCAUUUGGGCUUUUUGUUGGUGUCAAUAAUCACUUCCAUAGCAUCAUUUAUGGGGGCGUGUUGAUGAGCGAUGAGAAGGUGCACACUUUCAAGUGAAUAUUCACAGAAUUUUUCCAAAUGCUAGCAGCACCACAGCCAAAAACUAUCUUAACAGGUAAUGCAUGA
rnacentral:rRNA from 1 species